AUACGUAGGGGGCGAGCGUUGUCCGGAAUGAUUGGGCGUAAAGGGCGCGUAGGCGGCCCGGUAAGUCUGGAGUGAAAGUCCUGUUUUUAAGAUGGGAAUUGCUUUGGAUACUGUCGGGCUUGAGUGCAGGAGAGGUAAGUGGAAUUCCCAGUGUAGCGGUGAAAUGCGUAGAGAUUGGGAGAAACACCAGUGGCGAAGGCGACUUACUGAACUGUAACUGACGCUGAGGCGCGAAAGUGUGGGGAGCAAACAGGAUUAGAUACCCUGGUAGUCCACACUGUAAACGAUGAAUGCUAGGUGUAGGGGGUAUCGACCCCUUCUGUGCCGCAGUCAACACAAUAAGCAUUCCGCCUGGGGAGUACGGCCGCAAGGUUGAAACUCAAAUGAAUUGACGGGG
rnacentral:rRNA from 1 species